GGCUACAUGAAGCUGGAAUCGCUAGUAAUCGCGGAUCAGAAUGCCGCGGUGAAUACGUUCCCGGGUCUUGUACACACCGCCCGUCACACCAUGGGAGCCGGAAAUGCCCGAAGUCAGUGACCCAACCGCAAGGAGGGAGCUGCCGAAGGUGGAGCUGGUAACUGGGGUGAAGUCGUAACAAGGUAUC
rnacentral:rRNA from 1 species